GGUGGUGCAAUACAGUUUAACAACAGCAAAGCCCUGGCGACUGGGGUGCCAACAGUUCAAGCAUGCAUUGUAGCAUUUUUCUUCACUGUUGAGCAGAGAUACAAGGAAGGGGUCAAGGAAGGCUUGUUUUUAAUAUUUAUGAAUUUAGAGACACAGAAUUGGUGAAAAUGGUGUCCUGCAAGAAGAAAGCACGCUUAGAGCCCUCUGUGCCAACUCUCCAACAUGGAUUUCUGAGGAUUUCCAGUGAGUUCUUACAGUCCAGAGCGCAAAUGGUGUGAGUCGCAAGGCCUAUUGAUUAUGUGUCAGGCCCUUCGGUGUCGGUGAUCAAUAAGACUAAUGUGUAGAAAAAUGGACAGCAUUUGCUCAAUCAUCUUAAGAACCACAUCUUUCAAUGUCUUAUUUUGGGCAGCACUUCUUUCUCCUUGGGAGCAGUAUGAAGGAACAAGAGAUCAACUCGGGCAAGAACAAAGAUUUUUCAGGUCCAGCGAUCCAUAUCAUGGAAGAUCAUUUUGGAUGCUUCUUGAAAUCCUCUCCCUUCAAAGUCUUUCAGAUUUGCAGAUUUGUGUAUCAAUAGGCCUGAGACCUAAUCUGCUCCUAAACAUUUCUUGAGUCCUGCUACCCCAUAAAAUGGCGAGUGUUUUAAUCCCUACAACUUGCCAUUGCAACUUCCUUUGACAUGUAUGCAAGACCAACCGUGUGGAUGAGGAUUGCGAUGUGCAAGUCUCUUCUCACCAGGCUGAUGUUUUCCUCGUGACGGUUCACGAUUGCUAAGGCAGAAGAUACAAAAACAAGUCCAUGACUUGUGCGGCUCUCUUUCUCUCCUUAAGGAGACGAGGCAAGGUUUUAAUUAUUCAUGCCCCUUUCUUUUCAUGUUGUUCCCAGGUUUA